rnacentral:lncRNA from 1 species
AAGGGGAGCAGGGAAGCUCCCAAGCAGGGGGCCUGCAGUCAACCCCUAGGGAUGCACUGGACAACCAGGGCCACCAGAGGCUCAAGCCAGGAACCAGGCCAGGGAAUGGAGAGCCAAGGGCUGGGGCUGGGGCAGGGGGCUGGGGAGGGAAGGCAAGGGAUCCGGCAGUGGGGAGGCAGGCUUGAGGCCCAGGGCCACUGCCAGGUGUCAGGGUUCAGGGUGCAGGACCAAGGGCCCAGGGAGAGCAAGGGGCCCGCCCAGGCGAGGGGCAGGGUUCUGUUUCCCAAAAGGCACCCUGGCCCAGACGAGACUGCUGGGCCAGGGACCUGGCAAAGGGGGCCUGGCAAAGGACG